UACGUAGGGUGCGAGCGUUGCCCGGAUUUAUUGGGCGUAAGGCGCGUAGGCGGCAUGGCAAGUCAGGAGUGAAAGGCCUGGGCUCAACCGAGGAACUGCUUUUGAUACUGCCAAGCUAGAGUCUGGUAGGGGGAUCUGGAAUUCCUGGUGUAGCGGUGGAAUGCGCAGAUAUCAGGAGGAACACCGGUGGCGAAGGCGGGAUCCUGGGCCAGUACUGACGCUGAGGAGCGAAAGCGUGGGGAGCAAACAGG
rnacentral:rRNA from 1 species